AGAAUCGUCUCUAUGGGGCUGCUGGUCGACUUGUCCACUGGCGUGCGGUCCAGGAGAUACGGCGGCGGCACGUCCUCGUGCGUGGGGAUCGCUGAGGCGGCCUGCUGGUUGUGCGGGUGCGUCGACGGCGCCGCCGGCGGACCCAUGUGCCUCGUCUCCCACUUAUCCUCCCCAACCCCCGCCGUCGACGGCGCCGGAGGAGGCUGCUGGUUGCCCUCCGCCAUGGCUAGAACUCGCAAGAGGAUGAUGAACCAACCGCCUGAGAUGACAAGAGAUGGAAGAAACUUGCCCGAAGAAGAAGGCAGAAGGAUGCGCCAACCGUUCCAGAUGACAAGGGAAGGAACCGAC
rnacentral:lncRNA from 1 species